rnacentral:rRNA from 1 species
UGGGGACGGGGUGCAGCAGGCGCGAAAACUUUACAAUGCGGGAAACCGUGAUAAGGGGACACCGAGUGCCAGCGUCAUACGCUGGCUGUCCAGGUGUGUAAAAUACACCUGUUAGCAAGGGCCGGGCAAGACCGGUGCCAGCCGCCGCGGUAACACCGGCGGCCCGAGUGGUGAUCGUGAUUAUUGGGUCUAAAGGGUCCGUAGCCGGUUUGGUCAGUCCUCCGGGAAAUCUGACAGCUCAACUGUUAGGCUUUCGGGGGAUACUGCCAGACUUGGAACCGGGAGAGGUAAGAGGUACUACAGGGGUAGGAGUGAAAUCUUGUAAUCCUUGUGGGACCACCUGUGGCGAAGGCGUCUUACCAGAACGGGUUCGACGGUGAGGGACGAAAAGCUGGGGGCACGAACCGGAUUAGAUACCCGGGUAGUCCCCAGCCGUAAACGAUGCUCGCUAGGUGCCAGGCAUGGCGCGACCGUGUCUGGUGCCGCAGGGAAGCCGUGAAGCGAGCCACCUGGGAAGUACGGGCCGCACGGCUGAAACUAAAGGAAUUGGCGGGGGAGCACAACAACGGGUGGAGCCUGCGGUUUAAUUGGACUCAACGCCGGACAACUUCCCCGGGGACGACAGCAAAAUGUAGGCCAGGCUGAAGACCUUGCCUGAAUCGCUGAGAGGAGGUGCAUGGCCGUCGCCAGUUCGUACUGUGAAGCAUCCUGUUAAGUCAGGCAACGAGCGAGACCCGUGCCCACUGUUACCAGCAUAUCCUCCGGGAUGAUGGGUACUCUGUGGGGACCGCCGGUGUUAAAUCGGAGGAAGGUGCGGGCCACGGUAGGUCAGUAUGCCCCGAAUUUCCCGGGCUACACGCGGGCUACAAUGAAUGGGACAAUGGGUCCCUCCCCUGAAAAGGGCUGGUAAUCUCACAAACCCAUCCUUAGUUCGGAUCGAGGGCUGUAACUCGCCCUCGUGAAGCUGGAAUCCGUAGUAAUCGCGUUUCAAUAUAGCGCGGUGAAUACGUCCCUGCUCCUUGCACGAAUUCGCCGA